rnacentral:rRNA from 1 species
AGUGAACGCUGGCGGUAGGCCUAACACAUGCAAGUCGAACGGUAGCACAGAGGAGCUUGCUCCUUGGGUGGCGAGUGGCGGACGGGUGAGGAAUACAUCGGAAUCUACUCUGUCGUGGGGGAUAACGUAGGGAAACUUACGCUAAUACCGCAUACGACCUACGGGUGAAAGCAGGGGAUCUUCGGACCUUGCGCGAUUGAAUGAGCCGAUGUCGGAUUAGCUAGUUGGUGGGGUGAAGGCCCACCAAGGCGACGAUCCGUAGCUGGUCUGAGAGGAUGAUCAGCCACACUGGAACUGAGACACGGUCCAGACUCCUACGGGAGGCAGCAGUGGGGAAUAUUGGACAAUGGGCGCAAGCCUGAUCCAGCCAUACCGCGUGGGUGAAGAAGGCCUUCGGGUUGUAAAGCCCUUUUGUUGGGAAAGAAAUCCAUCUGGUUAAUACCCGGGUGGGAUGACGGUACCCAAAGAAUAAGCACCGGCUAACUUCGUGCCAGCCGCCGCCGUAA